rnacentral:rRNA from 1 species
UACGGAGGGGGCUAGCGUUGUUCGGAAUUACUGGGCGUAAAGCGCGCGUAGGCGGAUUGUUAAGUCAGGGGUGAAAUCCUGGAGCUCAACGUCCAGAACUGCCUUUGAUACUGGCGAGUCUCGAGUCCGGGAGAGGUGAGUGGAACUGCGAGUGUAGAGGUGAAAUUCGUAGAUAUUCGCAAGAACACCAGUGGCGAAGGCGGCGCGUCUGGGCCGGGAACUGACGCUGAGGAGCGAAAGCGUGGGGAGCGAACGG